rnacentral:rRNA from 1 species
UACGUAGGGUGCGAGCGUUGUCCGGAUUUAUUGGGCGUAAAGGGCUCGUAGGCGGCUUGUCGCGUCGGGAGUGAAAGCCCGCUGCUUAACGGCGGGUUUGCUUUCGGUACGGGCAGGCUGGAGUACGGCAGGGGAGACUGGAAUUCCGGGUGUAGCGGUGGAAUGCGUAGAGAUCCGGAAGAACACCGGUGGCGAAGGCGGUCUGCUGGGCCAAGACUGACGCUGAGGCGCGACAGCGUGGGGAGCAAACAGG